UGUGAUUAGGCAGGAGAAGAUGCUGAGUACUCAGCAUUAGCCAAAGUUGAAUUGAAGCAGGUGUUUUCUGGAAAAAUGAUAAAGGAGGUCAAGGAAGUGAGCUUGUCAACAAACCAAGACAAGUCACAGAUGAAGAAGAUGACUUGGAAAGUUGAGGGGGAUAAUGGAGGGGCACCCCGAGCUAUUAGAGGCGGCCCCGUCAAUAUUUCAGAUCUUGUUGUUGAGCUUGGUCCUAUGGAGAUUCGGACUUUCCUGUUGACAUUUUAACAGAUCUUCUGUCCCCGGUUAUACAUCAUCGUGAAUUCUUCAUACGAAGUCUUGACGAGGAAAGCCUAUUUUCCAUUUAUUUUGCCACCACUUUCCUGGAGAGACUUCUGCGCCCUAAUAAAGAUUUUGAGUGAUGGGUUUGUUUGGCUGAGUGUCACAACAUGAUGCACUGUUGUAAAAACGAGACACGAAAAUAAGUUGUAGCAUCAUCCAAAGAACAGGAAGAAGAAUUAUAUUUUCUGAUUAAAACAAAGACUGUGUUGGAAAAAAUGAUUUUUGGGAAUUUUAAUUUAAUAUUAAAGUGUGGUGAUUUUAAUUAAA